rnacentral:piRNA from 1 species
UGGCAGGAAAGGAUGGCCCAAACACCA